rnacentral:sRNA from 1 species
GUGCACUACACCGUAAGUCUUUCCCUUUAUUUUAUUUUAUUAUUUUUGUUGUUGUUUGUCUAAUAUAUAGACUUAACGUAUAUUGUAAUUUUUAAAGGAAUUGUGGCACACUUUCUUUUCUUUAGAGACUAAGGCCUUGUCUUACUCCAUUUUGUUAUUUGGCCGUGAACCCUCACCUUGUAAGACCUCAUCAUUCUGUUUAUGAGAAAUUUAUUGAAUGGUGUGUUUUAUUUAAGUAGUCGUUUCAUUUUUACUAAUUGCAUUGUUAUUCUUUGUAAAUUGCAGUUGUGAACUUUUACUAUACAUACGGUGUGUUCAAAGUUGAGGUAGGAUGAAUAUUAUUUUAUAGUUUUGGUAGUUUUAUCAUUAGGAUAUAGGUUUAGGACAAUUUUAAAAUUUUCUGCAUGCUAGAAUAUCAUAAGUGAGUCCCAUUUUGUUUCCUUGUUCUACCAACAAACAAAUCUCAUACUUAAUGAAUCCUGGAAUUCUUCCUGCGAUUGUCCAUAAUGGUAACUGUGCCAGUGCUUCUUUCCUCCGAAGUGAAACUAUUGCAUUUACUGAAUGUGGCUUGUAAGUUUCCAUCCUACAUUCUUUUGCUCCCUGUAUUACCACCUUCAGGUUGUUCACAACAACUUCAGCAUGCUGCUGUUCCAAAAACCCUUGCUUGAUUUUAUGUUGUACGGAAUUCCAUUAAAAAACCUCUUAUUAGGUGGCUUGUAAGAAGAUUAAAAAACCUCUUAUUUGGUGGCUUGUAAGAAGAUUAAAAUGCUAGUAUAUAUUUGACAUUUUGGCCUGAUUCUACUAAUUCAAAAGUAAAUGUACUUGACAUUACUGUAUUGUUAUAUUGUCUAUGUUCUUAAAUGAGACGCUAUUUUAUCAGAGUGACCAAUUUUUCUUUUGUUAAAUCCUCCUUCCAUUGUGAUCGAAUCAUUUUUGUUGAUAGAGAUACCCUGAGAUUUCACGCUUCAAUUAAGUGCAUAAGUUUGAAUGAAUAAGCUUUAAGUGCUCAACUGUGCUAGUUUGGCUUAUUUCAUGGUCUCAUAAUUGAAAGAUUCUGAUUACCGCAGGUGUCUCAUAUGUCUGCAACAAGUGAAGCAAGAGUACUACCUUGUCAAGAAUAAGCUUAAAACACUGUUCAAGCUUGAGCAAUAGAAUGUGGCAGCUGAUGGGUCAAUCCCUACGGAGUUGAGUUUCAGUGGAUGACUGGGUGGAUUUGUAAAGAUGCUUGUGUUAUGAUUCUCAUCUAUAUAUAAACUCCAUCUAACCAAAAUUAAGGGAAUAUGAACUGCACAAAUCAAAUAAAAUUUGAGCAAUUAUAAAUCUGCCCAAGAAUAGGAGUAAAUCCUAGUAAUUAUAUUACAACACAUACCUUAGAUGAUACCGAAGGUCAAGGUCAUGCAAAUGUGAGAAGACCUACAACAGUCAGAUACAAUCGCAAUUUGAGUAUUUUUAACAUAAAAUAAGAACAUAAAGUGUGAUUUUGACAAAGACAGGUAGGAGGCUGAAGAUGUUUGAAAGAGGAGUUAACUCUAAAAGCUUUGGAUUUGCCUCUCCUAAAGUGAACAAGUGUGACAGGUGUAUCACCAUGAUUUAAAUGACUAAAACAAACAGGGAUGAACUGUUAUUUUC